rnacentral:rRNA from 1 species
UACAUGGGGUGCAAACGUUGCUCGGAAUUAUUGGGCGUAAAGCGCACGUAGGCGGUUUGUUAAGUCGGAUGCGAAAUCCCUCGGCUCAACUGAGGAAGUGCAUCCGAAACUGGCAGGCUUGAGUACUAAAGAGGGUCGCGGAAUUCCCGGUGUAGAGGUGAAAUUCGUAGAUAUCGGGAGGAACACCGGUGGCGAAGGCGGCGACCUGGGUAGAUACUGACGCUGAGGUGCGAAAGCGUGGGGAGCAAACAGG